CUCUCGAAGGCCCCGGAUGUGGCGCAGGCCCAGAGGGGGAGUCUUGGCAUCUCCUCCAACUCACUCCCCAACUUUGGACGCGCUUAGGGCCAUAGCACCUGACACCCAGAUGUCGGUCCCGAGAACUACACUCCUGGGGAUUCUCUGGCCCUAGCGGUUUGAAGUUUUGCCUAUGGAGAAGAGCAAGUGGUGCGGAAUGGCGUUGAUUUAUUUGUGAUGAAAACGAAGGCCCAAGAGACAAGGUCCUGCCAUACAUCAUUUUGAAGAAAAGGGAUGAUGGUUUUAGGAAGCCGAAGAAUAGUACCAGGGAGCAGAAAAAUUUAAUCCUAAAUGUCUCCAGCUGCCAUGUUGUAACUUUCCUGUGGAGAGACCCAUCUGACAAGGAACUGAUGUGUCUGGCCAACUGCAUUGUGGAGCUGGGUCCUGUUCAUAGCCAUGUAAGUGAGCUGAGAAGCUGAUCCUACCCCAGUCAAGCCUUAAGAUGCCUGCAGCUCUGCUCAUACCUUGAAUAUAGCUUUGUGAGAGACCCUGAGCCAGAGGAACCCAAAGAAGCUACAUGUGGAUUCCUGACCCACAGACAAGAUUUCACUAGAAGAAAGGAGUUUCUUGCCCUUCAGAAUUUCAUAAAUUCUCCUAAUGAUUUGCCAAUUCAGUAUUUGGAAAAAAAAAAGUCACAGUAUAAACAUGCACAUCCUUUAAUUUUACCUGCUGAUUUAUUUAUUUAUUUGAGAGAGAGGAGAGCACACAAGCAAGCUGGAGAAGCGGCAGAGGGAGAGGGAGAGAGAGAAUCCUGAAGCAGACUUUGUGCUAAGCAGGGAGCCCACCGUGGGGCUGAUCCCAGGAUCCUGAGGUCAUGACCUGAGCCAAAACCAAGAAUUGGACGCUUAACUGACUGAGCCACCCAGGCGCCCCCAGAUGUCUACUUUUACAUUCAGUUUAUUUAGAGGUUCUCUGAAAAGAGCUCACAAAGAUAUACGGAUUUAAAUGGAAGAACUGUUUCUUAGAUGGGUUACUAAAUCACAAUACUUAUUUUUCAGUACCACUUGCUAUGUAAAGGUUUUGGUUAAUAUCUAAUGAAUACAUUUCCAAUUUGCCUGUUAUUCAUUUGUUUCUACACUCUAAUGAGAAGGUGUUGUAAAUGUUUAUAUUUUUAACAAAUGGCUUCAAAUGGCAUGGAAAUUUUAUUUGAAAAAUGUUUAACUGGGUUUAAAAAAUCCUAUGAGAUACGAGUUUUUAUAGGUUACAUGCAGUGUUUUUCAUCACAAAAAUUACAUAAGGAAAUAUUUUCAAACAUCAACAUAGCAUGCUAGGUGAGGGCAUAGACUCAAGCCAGUCUACUAAGUUGGAAUCCCAACUCCCCUACUCAUUGUUUAUGUAGCCGUGGGCAAGUUACUUAGUCUGUUGUGCCUCAGUUUUCUGUCCUGUGAAUUAGAAUGGUAAUAGAACCUACUCAUCAAGGCCAUUAUGAAAAUUAAAUAACUCAAUAAAGUACUUAAUAUAAUAUCUGACAUAUAGCAAGUAUACUUAAAUAUGUAAAGGAUUAAGGCGAGAAUUCUGAUGCCCUGCUGUUAGAAGAGUGUAAACAUUAAAAUUACUUUUAAUGUCAGUUGGGUAUUACCUACCAAAGUUGGACAUACACAUACCCUGUGACCUAGCAUACCGACAAAUAUAUUUAACAAGAGUGGUCCUCGAGGCUUUGUUUGUAAUAGGAAAAAAUACAAAUAACCCACAUGUUCAUCUACAAUGGGAUGGAUAAGUAAAUGGCUUUGUAUAUAUCGACUGGAUGCUAUUCAGCAAUACAAACGAACGAGAAGAAUAAACCACAGCUACAUUCACAUGAAUGAAUUUGACAAAUGAUGAACAUAAGAACAAAGAUAUAAAAAUGUAUAUAUAGUGUGAUGGCACUUUAAAAAGUUCAAAAAGAAGCAAAACAAAUAGAAUGCACAGAUAGUAAAAUUAUAUAGAAAAUAAAUAAUCAUCACAAAAGUCAGGCUCAUAAUUCUCUCUUAAAAAAAGAAGAGGACUGUAACUGAGGAGGGGCACCAGGGGUGUGCACGUGUGUGCGCGUGUGUGUGUGCGUGUGAGCACGUGUGCCUGCACCCUGCAUGAAUGCUGAUGGUACCUUGUUUUCUGAUUUGGGAGCUGUUUAGGAAUGUUUACUUUACAAUUAUUAACUUAUGAUAAGUUUUAUGCACUUUUCUGUGUAUAUGUGUUAUAUUUCACAAUGAAGAAAUUUUUAAAAACUCUACACAAGUCUUGUUUGCACAAAAUUAACUGCAUUGUUAACAUCUUAUAGUACUAUGUAUUCUGGCCCCAACUUCUUUGCUGGAAUAACUGUCUGUAAGAUGUACCAUGAAUGAGUUUCACGUGGUUGUGCUCACUGUAACCUUAGCUUGGAAUCCUCCCUUUUAUUUUUUCUUUAAUAAAAAGUUUUUGUUAAAACAACUAACCAGUCAG